rnacentral:rRNA from 1 species
UACAGAGGUCCCAAGCGUUGUUCGGAUUCACUGGGCGUAAAGGGUGCGUAGGUGGUUGUGCAAGUCUGACGUGAAAUCUCCGGGCUUAACCCGGAAAUGGCAUUGGAAACUGCAUAGCUAGAGGGUUGGAGGGGGGACUGGAAUACUUGGUGUAGCAGUGAAAUGCGUAGAUAUCAAGUGGAACACCAGUGGCGAAGGCGAGUCCCUGGACAACACCUGACACUGAGGCACGAAAGCUAGGGGAGCAAACAGG